AGUGAACGCUGGCGGUAGGCCUAACACAUGCAAGUCGAACGGCAGCACAGUAAGAGCUUGCUCUUACGGGUGGCGAGUGGCGGACGGGUGAGGAGUACAUCGGAAUCUACUUUUUCGUGGGGGAUAACGUAGGGAAACUUACGCUAAUACCGCAUGCGACCUACGGGUGAAAGCAGGGGAUCUUCGGACCUUGCGCGAUUGAAUGAGCCGAUGUCGGAUUAGCUAGUUGGCGGGGUAAAGGCCCACCAAGGCGACGAUCCGUAGCUGGUCUGAGAGGAUGAUCAGCCACACUGGAACUGAGACACGGUCCAGACUCCUACGGGAGGCAGCAGUGGGGAAUAUUGGACAAAGGGCGCAAGCCUGAUCCAGCCAUACCGCGUGGGUGAAGAAGGCCUUCGGGUUGUAAAGCCCUUUUGUUGGGAAAGAAAAGCAGCAGGUUAAUACCCCGCUGUUCUGACGGUACCCAAAGAAUAAGCACCGGCUAACUUCGUG
rnacentral:rRNA from 1 species